rnacentral:rRNA from 1 species
UACGAAGGGGGGCUAGCGUUGCUCGGAAUUACUGGGCGUAAAGGGCGCGUAGGCGGCACUGUUAGUCAGGCGUGAAAGUCCUGGGCUCAACCUGGGAACUGCGCUUGAUACGGCAGAGCUAGAGGAUGGAAGAGGGUCGCGGAAUUCCCCAGUGUAGAGGUGAAAAUUCGUAGAUAUUGGGAAGAACACCGGUGGCGAAGGCGGCGACCUGGUCCAUUACUGACGCUGAGGCGCGACAGCGUGGGGGAGCAAACAGGG